rnacentral:snRNA from 1 species
GUGCUCACUUCAGCAGCACAUAUACUAAAAUUGGAACGAUACAUGGCCCCUGUAUAAGGAAGACUUGCAAAUUCAUGACAAAAAAAAUACUACA